rnacentral:lncRNA from 1 species
UGGCAACUCGUCUUACACCGUUCGCCAGUUUAUCCGUUCACUUUCUCUGUCUAUAUCCUUGUCCGUCUGUUUGUGUACCAGCUUAUCUGUCUGCUUCGGCUCGUCCGUCUGUCUGUCUGCGUGCCCAUCCGUUCUGUAUAGCAUGCGUACAUGCAUGCAAUCUGUGCCGCGGCUGCUCCUUGGGUCCGUCCUUCCCCUUCCAAUCAGCCGCUCAGGCUGUACAGUCAGGUUAGCAGGUAGGUCGUGCUGGAUGCGUGGACGAUGCUCCUUGGAGAGGAGGAAUGCAGCAAGGGUGAAAUGUUCGCAUCCUCGGGUAACCCUCGGUCAUCGACCGAACGCAUCUACCAAGUGUAACUUGACCCCCUGCCCGCAUCUCCCUGUCGUGACCCAACCCUAAGACACGAGACUGCCUGAUAGUACCUGGUCAAUGCCCUGUACGUAGGUAUGCAGUACCCUUACCUUGAUACUGUUGAUGUGCUGAAACCAGGGCACCGCGGCAAGCGCACCAGUUUGGAAGGAAGGUGAAUGAUCGGCUAGACCGCAUUACAGAAGAGGAUUGCCGGUGGCAAGAGCUGAAUUGCUGUGGCUUCCACCGUGGCUGUGUCCUAGCAAGCGAAGCAACAUUGCUGUAAGAUCUCUGAUGCCGCGUAAAGUGUGCUUUAUUAUCAGCUGCGUAAGUGCAUGGAUCGCCA